rnacentral:tRNA from 1 species
CACGGGAAAUGGUCGGGAUAGCUCAGUUGGUAGAGCAGCGGACUGA